ACGCUGGCGGCGUGCCUAAUACAUGCAAGUAGAACGCUGAAGAGAGGAGCUUGCUCUUCUUGGAUGAGUUGCGAACGGGUGAGUAACGCGUAGGUAACCUGCCUUGUAGCGGGGGAUAACUAUUGGAAACGAUAGCUAAUACCGCAUAACAAUAGGUGACACAUGUCAUUUAUUUGAAAGGGGCAAUUGCUCCACUACAAGAUGGACCUGCGUUGUAUUAGCUAGUAGGUGAGGUAACGGCUCACCUAGGCGACGAUACAUAGCCGACCUGAGAGGGUGAUCGGCCACACUGGGACUGAGACACGGCCCAGACUCCUACGGGAGGCAGCAGUAGGGAAUCUUCGGCAAUGGGGGCAACCCUGACCGAGCAACGCCGCGUGAGUGAAGAAGGUUUUCGGAUCGUAAAGCUCUGUUGUAAGUCAAGAACGAGUGUGAGAGUGGAAAGUUCACACUAUGACGGUAGCUUACCAGAAAGGGACGGCUAACUACGUGCCAGCAGCCGCGGUAAUACGUAGGUCCCGAGCGUUGUCCGGAUUUAUUGGGCGUAAAGCGAGCGCAGGCGGUUUGAUAAGUCUGAAGUUAAAGGCUGUGGCUCAACCAUAGUUCGCUUUGGAAACUGUCAAACUUGAGUGCAGAAGGGGAGAGUGGAAUUCCAUGUGUAGCGGUGAAAUGCGUAGAUAUAUGGAGGAACACCGGUGGCGAAAGCGGCUCUCUGGUCUGUAACUGACGCUGAGGCUCGAAAGCGUGGGGAGCGAACAGGAUUAGAUACCCUGGUAGUCCACGCCGUAAACGAUGAGUGCUAGGUGUUGGAUCCUUUCCGGGAUUCAGUGCCGCAGCUAACGCAUUAAGCACUCCGCCUGGGGAGUACGACCGCAAGGUUGAAACUCAAAGGAAUUGACGGGGGCCCGCA
rnacentral:rRNA from 1 species